CGAGGAACCACCGUCUCCAGAUGCUCCCAGAUCUCUGCUUCUCUGGCAUUCUGGUGCCUUGCUCUCUUGAGGUAAUCGUAGACCUCCUCAAACGUUUCCAUUCCUAGCUUCUGUACAGCUGAUCUGUCAAGAAAGGGAGGAAAGAUUACAAGCCUCGCAUACAGAUCACUGGUAAGGAAAUAUAUUUUAAAGUCGGCCGUUGAACAAAUAACACUGUGCCCCUGGCAUUUGGGAGGGAGAAGAGAUGACCCUAAGGUGCAGAAUCUCACCCUCAGCAUUCAACAGUGGCCAACAAGCCAUGCUUAAGUGCUGGCUGAUUGUGUCCCAGGCACUCUUUCAGACACUGUGACCACAGCAGAAAAUACUUGAGAUAUAUUCUUGCCUUCACCCUCAUGUUUAUAUACAGUGGAUCUGUUGGUGUUUUGUUAUAAUAAACCAAGAAAGGCUACUUAUAAUGAAAAGAAAAUACAUCCAGCAAAAUACCCAGACACAACAUAAAAAUAAAAAUUUCAAAUAAAAUGUUAACAAUGGCACAGAAGACCUGAAGAGCAUUCACUCUGAACUCAGAGCCCAGCCCUCAACACUACAAGGGGGUACAGAUUCUUCUCUGACAUGGACAGGAACUAAUUGUAUAGGCAACAAAUCAGGUCUCAACAACAUUCAUGCACAUAAGCACAUUUAAAUCAUUUUCUAAAUUAUCGGUCAAAGAAAACAAAUCAACCAUGCGAUAAACUCAUGUGAGGCCAAGAGGAAGUGGGCAGUAGGCAGGCACUGCCACAAGGCAACACUGGUGGUGAUGUACGGUUAGACUCGGAGAACACAUUGAUAUUUCUACAAUGAUGUACUGGAAUGCUCAAGAUUCAUAAAAUGUAAACUCCUGUUUAAAGGGAUGUUCUUGCUGUUCUUUGUGUUUUCAGAAAGGAGGGCAGCAUCCUUUGUACUGUUCAUGUUAAAAAUGUCCGUGUCUCUUUGUAAUGGGGAGAAGUAAGGUAUGGAUGGAGGGGGGGGGCUAUCACUACCAUUCGAGUGCUCAAAUAAAAAGAAGUUUCAUUUUAAUUUUCCUGCCCCUUUUUAUAUGCCACUUCCUUUCUCAUGAAAGGAGUCAAAGGACUUCAGAGGUGCUUUAGGGACUCUACAAUGUCAGUUUUGCCCCAAUCCUUCGUUUACAGGUUGAACGGCACACAGGUGGGCAGGCAUCCAGGGACAACAGAGGACUACACACCCAGUUACCAGGCUUUUCAGGCAAGAAUGCUGUGGGCAGGAUAAUGGCACCCGAACAUGGAGUCCAGUGGCAAAGCCGCCCAGGUUCCAAAGCCUAAGCCAGGGCAAAUCACGCUCCUCUGUUUGGCUGAUGCAGACAGGAACCCAAGCUCCCAAGAGAGCAGGUCCUCUCUCCUCGACCAUCUUCC
rnacentral:lncRNA from 1 species